rnacentral:rRNA from 1 species
UGGGGAAUAUUGGACAAUGGGCGAAAGCCUGAUCCAGCCAUGCCGCGUGUGUGAAGAAGGCCUUAUGGUUGUAAAGCACUUUAAGCGAGGAGGAGGCUCUUUUGGUUAAUACCCAAGAUGAGUGGACGUUACUCGCAGAAUAAGCACCGGCUAACUCUGUGCCAGCAGCCGCGGUAAUACAGAGGGUGCGAGCGUUAAUCGGAUUUACUGGGCGUAAAGCGUGCGUAGGCGGCUUUUUAAGUCGGAUGUGAAAUCCCCGAGCUUAACUUGGGAAUUGCAUUCGAUACUGGGAAGCUAGAGUAUGGGAGAGGAUGGUAGAAUUCCAGGUGUAGCGGUGAAAUGCGUAGAGAUCUGGAGGAAUACCGAUGGCGAAGGCAGCCAUCUGGCCUAAUACUGACGCUGAGGUACGAAAGCAUGGGGAGCAAACAGG